UGGGGUUAGCUAAUAUCAAUGAUCAUGUUGUUUAUAAGAUUAUGAUAAAACAGCAUGUUUUUAAAUAUAGGUUUCAUUAUUAUUCAUGUAUGAUCAGGAGGUGAUUGCCAUUGAAAAGUUACUUGUUACUCAUAGAUCCCAUGAGAAGUGAGGCAUAUCACACCAUAAGGGAAACACCAGUGUCAGUCAAGAGACAGGAAAGUGGGGGGAAAAAACAUGGAUAAGAGCCUUUCUUGUGGUUUCUGCAGGAAGACAAGGGAAUAAAGCAGUGGACGCAACUCACAACAUCAAAAAUGCAUUUGGCCCAGGAACUGCUAACAAAUGUACAAUGCAGUGAUGGUUCGAGAAGCUGUACAGAGGACAUGAGAGCCUUGAAGAUGAGGAGUACAGAGUGGACAGCCAUAGGAAGUUGACCAUGACUAAUUGAGAGCCAUCAUCAAACUGAUCCUCUUAGAACUACAUGAGAAGUUGCCUAAGAACUCAGUGUCGACCAUUCUGCAGUCAUUCAGCGUUUGAAGUAAAUUGGAAAGGUGAAAAAGCUCAAUAAGUGGGUGCCUCAUGAGCUGACUGAAAAUCAAAAAAAUCAAGUGUUGCCUUCUCUUAUUUUGUGCAACAACAGCAAACCAUUUCUAGAUCAGAUUGUGAUGUGCAAUAAAAAGUAGAUUUUAUAUGACAACCAGCAAUGACAACCAACUCAGUGGUUGUACUGAGAAGAAGCUCCAAAGCACUUCCCAAAGCCAAACUUGCACCAUAAAAAGGUCAUGGUCACUGUUUAGUGGUCUGCUGCCCGUCUGAUCCACUACAGCUUUCUGAUUCCCAGCAAAACCAUUACAUCUCAGAAGUAUGUUCAGCAAAUAGAGGAGACGCAGUGAAAAAUGCAACACCUGCAGCCUGCUUUGGCCAACAGAAAGGGCCCAAUUCUUCUCCAAGACAAUGCCCGACCACACAUCACACAACCGCUGCUUCAAAAGUUCAACAAAUUGGGCUAUGAAGUUUUGCCUCAUCUACCAUGUUCACCUGACCUCUCACCAACUGACUACCACUUCUUCAAGCAUCUUGACACCUUCUUGCAGAGAAAAUGCGUCCACAACCAGCAGGAGGCAGAAGAUGCUUUCCACGAGUUUGUCACAUCCUGAAGGAUGGAUUUUUAUGCUACAGGAAUAAACAAACUUAUUUUUCUUUGGCAAAAAUGUGUUGAUGGUAAUGAUUCCUAUUUUAAUUAAUAAAGAUGUGUUUGAGCCUAAUUAUAAUUUAAAAUUCACAGUUCAAAACCACAAUUACUUUCUCAUCAACCUAAUAAAUGUGUUCAGCAAAUUU